rnacentral:rRNA from 1 species
CCUACGGGAGGCAGCAGUGAGGAAUAUUGGACAAUGGGCGAGAGCCUGAACCAGCCAAGUCGCGUGAAGGAUGACGGCCCUACGGGUUGUAAACUUCUUUUGUCAGGGAGCAAUUGGGUCCACGCGUGGGCUUAGCGAGAGUACCUGAAGAAAAAGCAUCGGCUAACGCCGUGCCAGCAACCGCGGUAAUACGGAGGAUGCGAGCGUUAUCCGGAGUGAUUGGGUUUAAAGGGUGCGUAGGCGGAAUAUCAAGUCAGCGGUAAAAGUUCGGGGCUCAACCCCGUCGUGCCGUUGAAACUGAUGUUCUUGAGUGGGCGAGAAGUAUGCGGAAUGCGUGGUGUAGCGGUGAAAUGCAUAGAUAUCACGUAGAACUCCGAUUGCGAAGGCAGCAUACCGGCGCCCAACUGACGCUGAAGCACGAAAGCGUGGGUAUCGAACAGGAUUAGAUACCCGGGUAGUC